rnacentral:rRNA from 1 species
CCCUUAGAUGUUCUGGGCCGCACACGCGCUACACUGAAGGAGGCAGCGUGUACUCCUGGAUCGAAAGAUUUGGGUAACCCGCGAAUCUCCUUCGUGCUAGGGAUUGAGGUUUGCAAUUAUCCUUCAUGAACGAGGAAUUCCCAGUAAGUGCAAGUAAUAAGCUUGCGCUGACUACGUCCCUGCCCUUUGUACACACCGCCCGUCGCUACUACCGAUUGAAUGAUUUAGUGAGGACUUCGGACUGGGACCGAUGCGGCUUUCGGGCUGCGUCGGUAUUCUGGAAAGAUGUCCAAACUGUAUCAUUUAGAGGAAGUAAAAGUCGUAACA